CCCUUUUUUACAAACUAAAUUCUCCUCCUCUCUCUCAUUCUCUAUCAAUUUUUCUGAUAUUUUACAAUAAAACGAAUUUUUAACUAAUCAAUAUUAUAAAAUUAAAAUUUAUAUUUAAUAUAUGUAAUAUAAACUAUACAAAAAGUUAUGUGUAAAAAAUUACAUAAUUUAAAUUUUUAUAAUAAUAUUUUAGAAAUGUAGACAACAAAAUUUAGUUUUACACCCCGAUGGUACAAAAUAUUUUUCAUCCACCAUUUUAUCUUUUCUUCUCAUCUAUAAAAAAUUGUUGUUUAAUAAAUGAGCCGAAUACAACCUGGGGUCAACUCUCUCAUGUUCAGCUCAAUAACAGCUCCAAUAUAUAUAUUUAUAUAACUUAUUUAAUUUAUAUUUAUAUAUAUAAAUAAAUAAUUGUAUGUAUAAUAUAUAUAUUUUAUUAUUUAAUAGUAAAAGAAAUAUAAAGUUGAGCUCAAUUAAAGAAAGACUCAUUUAUAUAUAAAGUUUCAACCAUUAGAUCAAAGUUUUGUGGGUAAGAUUUUAUAAAUUUAUUUUUUAUAUAUAUCAAAUCUAAUUCAUUUAAUUUAUUGUUUGUUGCCCGCUCGCGAGCCAGCUCGUGUUCGACUUGUUAAUUAACCAGCGGAGCACGAGCUGAAUUCUUCGUAUAUAAUAAUUUAUUAAUUUUAUAGUUUAGAGUUUCUUCUUUCUUCGUUCAUUAGUUUGAGAUAUUUAUAGGUCCAACUCAACCUAAUGGGUCCAAAAUCAUUACCGAAUAUAAAAAAUAUCGUCACCAAAUAUCUAUUAUGCCGACAAAAAUUAUUGUCAUAUGUUGCUGCAAAGGAUUCCACUAGCCACCAAAUUGUUACAAGUCGGGGCAACAAUAUUUUUCCACCAAAGUAAAAUUUGGAGGCAACUAUUUAUCGCCACCAAUUACCAAGAUUUGGUGGAAACUAGUUUUUGCCACUAGCAUUCAACUUUAGGCGGCGGAUAUUUAUCGCCACCAAAUGUGAGAUAUGGUGGCAAAUAUUUAUCGCCACAUUUAAAUGUGAUAUUUAAUGACAAAUAUUUAUCGCCAUUAAAUAUGACAUUUGGUGGCGCAAUUAUUUAUCGCCAUAUUAUUUUUGCCAUCAAUACGUGCUCUAAUCAAAAGCAGAUAUUUCGUCCUAUUUUACUUCGUUCUACAUAUGCUAAUGUAGGCCUACAUAUCAUGCUUUCGGUUGAUCAAGUUCUCUUUUGAUUUAACCCAAGAAGCAGCAAACAAAUUCUGGAACUUAUGCUACUAGAGAAAUCUGAAAUGAGUUUCGUCUGUACCACAUAGAAAGAGUUGGUAAAAGACUUACAAUUUGAAUAAAUUUAAAAUAUACCCCAAACUCACUCUUACAUCUAUGUGUGUGUGUGUGUGUGUGUGUGUUUUUUUUUUGAGAAAUAGAUAGUAUACUACCCGCUUCGUUUAUUUUAUUUAGACAUAAACUUAGCUGAAAAUGUGAAUCAACUAGGAUUCGAAUUCGAAAUCUCAUGUAUCAACCACUAAACCUUUUGUCACUUGCGCUAGAGAUGAUCGGAUACAUCUAUGUGUGUGUGUUG
rnacentral:lncRNA from 1 species